GAAUAAUUAACAUAUAAGAAUGUAUAUAUUUUGAAAAUAUAAAAAAAAUAAAUGAUAUUUAUUAUUCU
rnacentral:tRNA from 1 species